rnacentral:lncRNA from 1 species
AGACUGUGCUGUGCUGUUGACCCAACGCGACACACAGAUCCCUCUGUCGCCCGCUGGACACUGGCCAGGCGGCCUUGGUCUGUGGGGGAGAAUCACUCAGUGCGUGAAGCCAGCUCAGCCCUGGAACCUCAGCGCAACAAAAAGCCUCUGUUCGCCUUGCGCCGGGCUUCACGCAGAGGGUCCCGGCCCUGCCCCACCGCGGUGGCCGCCUCGAAGACGUGCCUGGAGAGCCAGCCCUUUAAUUAGGUCAGCCCGUGGGGGGCAGAGGGCACCCCAUGCGGGUUCAGUGGGUGAACGGGCGGAGGAGGCCGUCCCAGGACUUUCUCCAGCGGCUUCAAGUUCACGAGACCCUCCCUUCACGUCCAGCAGCCUGGGGCCCAGGCUGAGUUUUCAGGGCAGGGCGUCGGCGCGUGUCAGCGCGAGCGGUGCUGAGAGGCUGAGGGGCUCCCCGUGACUCAGGACCGGGAGCUCGGUUUGGGGGAGCCCUCCGUUCCUGCGGACUUUGUGGGAUUGUUGUAUUUGGCUCUCAAUCCUCUUCUUUUUUUGGUUUUGAAGCCCGAGCUGUUGGGACGGUGCCUGGAAGGAAGAAGAGGGUUCCCUGACUCUGGGGGGCGAGCGUGCCCAGGGUGCGCCCGGGAGGUAGACGACACAGCCAGGGGGCCCGGGGCCACUCUUCCCCUCCCCCAGGUGAGACGGCAGCAGGACGCAGUCACAGGAACACCCCUCCACGCAGGGCCACAGGGGCAUGCGGUGGUCUUGUUUGGACAACCUGCCUGGCAGGCACCUGAGGCUGGCUGGGCGGCGGCUGGUUCUUGGCGGUCUUGCCAGCCAUCGUGCCAUUUUUCUAAGCUGUCUUGGCUUUCAGUCCAAGCAGCAUGGUUCCCGGGAGGUGACAGGGCUGCCUCUCAGGGGUGGAAGCUCUGGGCCGUUUUCAGAAAGAGAAGCCUGCGCUUCCUGCUUCUGUCCUGGGUCGCGUCCCGAGUGCCCCCCCACCCCCUGACUCCAUCUCAGGUUUCACGUUGUUCCCUUUACACUUUCCCGCCUCUCUGAGGCUCUUUGGCGCCUGCGUGGUUUUCAGAGGUUCCUAACUUAGCGCAAACGCCAGGCGGGUGUUCUGGAGGCAGGAGGGUGCAUUUUGAACGUAGCCUUGUGGGGUCAGGUGGGUGGGGGAGGAGGAUGGAGGCCGCGGAGGAGGUGAGAGUCGCACCUUCCACGGCCAAACCCAAGUUCUGUGCACCCAGCGCGGGGGUGCGGGUGUGGACAGGUGGGUCCCUGCGUGUCCUCAGCGGACGGAGGCCAGGCGCUCGCCUCCCCGCAUCCUCUCCUGUGGAGAGACCAGCCUGGUCCCCCUCCCCGACCAAUUUUAACCUUUGCCAAUUUUAACCCAGAUUUUCAAGGCUGCAGGAAACACGUUUAUCCGAGCUCCCCCCGGGGACGACCCCCAGGGCCUGGUCAGAACCCCGUGCAGCUCAGGCCGCCGAGCUUUUUAAACCGCCUGCUGGUGUCAUGGGCUAAGCGUGUCUGGACCGCUGUGCCGGGAGCACGCUGUCGCCCUCUCUGUCUUUUGAACAGUCUCCGACGGUCUUGUCCACACGCUGCAGGAGGGAGUGGCCGGCAGCGUCUCGGGACCCCAGCAGCAUCCCUCCUCUGGCCGCCAGAGUGGACGUGUCCGCCGGGCUGGGUGGAGGGCCUGGAAGGCCAUGGCAGUGCCCCGUCCUCCAGGUGUCCAGCCCCACCUCUGCUGGCUUUGGCUCCUAGUCUUUCCCGAUCCGGCCACUCAGGGUGCUGUGUGCUGAGCUAAUAUUUACUGAGCCGGGACCCGAGGUUCCUCCUGGAAGCAGCUCUGUGGUGUCUCCCUGCGGAAAAAUGUGUGAGCCGGGCCCUUGCCCCCCCGCUGCCCCCCGUACACACGUCAGGCUUUGGUGUUCACAGGGGUCGCCUGCUCCCAAAGUGACUUGCCAGCCCUUCUUGUUGGCCUUCCCACAGUUGCCAGUUUGAGACUGUGCUUGCGAGAGCCCAGGGCUUCUUACUGUGGGAGGGAGGCCGGAGCCGAUUGGAGCAGAAGGACGAGCUGCCGGUAGAGACCUGGCAGGCCUGUGUUACUGCGAACGACGGGGUGGCAAAGGUGGGGCCGUGGUCAGCCCAUGGUCAGUGGGUCCAGGCGCAGCUGCCCCCUCGCUCCGUGUCUCAGUGCCAUGAGCCUCAGGGUCGCAUCGCUGCAAGGAGACAGUCCAGGUCUGAGGGACUCGGACCUCUGUCCCCCUACGUGUCAGGAAGGGUAGACGCGGCAGAGACGGCGGGCUUGCAAGCCCCACAGCUCGGGGGGGGCCAGCCCUGUACAGGACUCUGUGGCCUCGGCUGGGGACCACGGGGGACAAGCUGGGUCCUGGCUAGUAGCAGGUGGCUGACCCCCCAGAGAUGGCCCAGAGGGAGGACACGGGGCUCUUGAACAGGAGAGGGAGCGUCCGGGUGAGAGCGGGUGCAGGCGGGGACAGCCCUCGGUGCUACAGCUCUGUGACACCCAGACCACGUGUGUCCACAGCCAGACUGCAUGCAGCCAUGGAGCCUCUGCGCCCCCAUCCACCUCGAGCAAGGCCCCCAUCUCCUGGGACCCUGCCAGGGCACCUGUCCUCUUGGAGCUGGGAGGCAGCGCCAAGCUCUCUACUGGGGUUGGUCCUUCCUGGACGAAGUCUCCAGAAUCAGAGCUUCAUAGCUCCUUUCCUGGUGGUGGUCGGGGAGGGGGGCAGUGUGAUGAGUCAGCUCAGCCCCGGAGGGUCGGUGGGGUCAGUGGGGCUUGGGGGAGGGGAUGUGGCGCCAUCCCUUCCCCUUGAGCAGCAAACGGGAAGUUCUUGUUCACAGCGUCAGCUGACUCCUGGGAACAAGCAGCUCGGGCCACGCGCUGCUGACCAGGGCCAGGAUGUGGGCGUGGCCACACUGCGGAGGGCGGCUGGGGCUCGUGGCCUCGUGCCCUCCCCACUCCAGACCUGCCCCUGCAGGGACACUGCACCUUCAGCUGCUGGACCCGUUUCUCUUGGCAGGCAGCGCCCCCCUCCGUGUCCGAGGGCCCCGGGAGCCCUGCCCAGACCCAGGCGGUCCUGCCUGCUUCAAGAACCUCUCCAAGACUCUGGGCUUCGGGAUGGGGCUGCACUGAGCGGGGCUUUGGAGGACUUGGGUGGGCCCUGAGCUGCUGUCUGGGGGCCCUGCCGGUGGGGGUGGAGGGAGUGGGCCGGUGCUAAGGGAGCCCCCAAGACCUGCCUGCGACACCCCCUUCCAACCCCGUAAGGGGGAUGGUCUACCCCCAGACUUCAAGAGAAUCUGGACCACGGAUCUUUCUGCUGUUGGCUCCCGAGCUUCUGUCUUCCUCGACUGGACCACUUACGCAGGGCCCCAGACGGCAGCUCAGGGCCCACCUGGUUCACCCAAAGCCCCGCUCAGUGCAGCCCCAUCCUGCCACCCCUUGAAGCCUCUGGGACAGGGGCUGCAGAGCUUGGAGCAGUCGGAAGUUUCCAGGCCAGGGAUUGAAUCUGAGCCACGGCAGUGGUAACACCAGAUCCUUAACCAGCAUUUUGUCCUCCACGUGAAACCCGAGUGGUACCUCGCUUUCCUUGUUAUUUUAACCAGGAGCUUCAGCUACGUGAAAUAAAAUUUGUAUUUUCUGGCAAGGCGAGAAGAAAAAAUUCCAACAUAGCAUUUGUCUCUGCCCGUUGGCCCCCUGCCUGCCCCCCACUGGGACUGUGCGUCUGCAUUUACGCAUCGGCCAGACCUCCCCCAGCAGCAGGAACACCUGCUCAGCUUCUCCGGCACCAGUACCGACGGGACGGCUCCUGAAAGAUGGACUGACAAAUUGUCCUCCAUAUCUGUGACAUAGUAACCGUAGCUGUGGUAACGAGCAGCGUCAGAAUUCGCAAAGCAGUGUGCUCGUUACCUUGUUGGAGUCCUGGCGGUGGGGUUGGGGGGUUGUCACCUGUUCACAGGUGAGGGGCCUUGACUCACAGGGGCUGAGGACUCAUCGCCCUGGAGCUGGGGUUCGGGGAGCACCACACGGUGCUCAGAGGAGGCUGUGGUCGGGCCCACCUCCUGUUCUGUUUGUUUAUUUCAGAAUAUUCCUUAAGCCAAUCUCCCCAUAAGGUAAAUUACACAAUCAAAAUAGUGUUUGGAACUCCUACGCCUUUGAAGAAAUUCCUCAAAAGAGAGUAGAAUGUGGAAAGUCUUGUCUUAAUCCCCCGGAGCCUGCGGACGGCAGAGCUAAGACGCCGGGACAAAACCUCUAGCAAGUUAAGGUUAAAAGUUCUGCGGAAGAAGAAGAUUCCCCAGAAAACGAUCACGGCUGGAUGUCCCUCAGAAGGUCUGGCAGUCGCCGUCCUUAAGGAAAAAGGGGGUCUCCUCUGCGGGCAGGACCCCCAGGCUGCGGGGGGCCUUCCCGACCAGGCCCUGUUUGAACCUCUCUGGCUUUUGCUGUGAGACAGUGUGAUUCUGAAGGUGGGUUUCAGGCAUGGCUUUCCCCCGCAUCCACAGGGCGGAUGCAUCCCAGCUCUGCUGCUGGCAGGGAUGAGCUCACGGCACCAUCGGCACCCAUUUCUGGUGGCCCUGCUGCCAGACGGUGAUACACUAGGUCCCGGGCUCCACGUCCCCUGCUUUCGUGCUGGCAGGGCCACGGGAGCUCCUGUCGCUUUGAGGGGGAAGGUCAGACCCAGGAGUGACGUGCUCUUGGCUGAGGGUCUGUGUCAGUGCACCACCGUUAUACAUUCGGGAAGGUUCCUUCAGCAGAAACACGCAUGAGACACGGCUAGGGAUGGACAAGAUGAGGGAGACGUGGCCCGAGGCCCAGGGAGCCCAGCCUGUGUCCCCAGGAGCAGAGGCUCGGGACUCGCUCGCUCCGUGUCUGGGUCUCUGAGAACCAGCGCUACUUCACUGGAAACGGUGAAGGUUCGUGACAAAGGACCGUUUCCUCCAGCUGAUGACACGAAUUCCUAAAGAGGAGAAAACGCUGGCCUUACUUACUUGGCCGCUCCUGGGUCUGACCCCCCCCUUGAAGCAACAGGACGGCCCCCGUCCCCCAUGUUACGAGUGGAGCCACCCGCCCCCACCAGGCACCUGCAGAGCCAUGGGCGCUCGGAAAGCUCCGAUUUUCCAUUUUUCUCCACGACACGCUGUGGCUGCCCCGUGCUCUCCUGCGUGCGCGGCUCUGCUCCCUGGGUGGAUUUGGUCACAUCUGUGCCGACCCUGCAGUUCCCUGACGUCCCUUCUUCCUUGGGACGCGCUCCUCAUCCUCCCAUCUUCCUUUUGUCAAAUAUUUCUUGGUUAUUUCUGUAGUUUACUCCUCCAUGGGAAUGUCAGAGGCCUGACUGUUGAAAUUUUGAUUUAAGUUUCUAUAAAUUCUACAAAUUACAAUGGAC